rnacentral:rRNA from 1 species
AGAGUUUGAUCCUGGCUCAGGACGAACGCUGGCGGCGUGCCUAACACAUGCAAGUCGAACGGGACCGGGGGCAACUCCGGUUCAGUGGCGGACGGGUGCGUAACACGUGAGGAACAUGACCUUCGGCGGGGGAUAGCCGGCCCAACGGCCGGGUAAUACCGCGUACGACCAUUUGGGGACAUCCCCGAGUGGUGAAAGCAGCAAUGCGCCGAUGGAGUGCCUCGCGGCCUAUCAGCUUGUUGGUGGGGUGAUGGCCUACCAAGGCGACGACGGGUAGCCGGCCUGAGAGGGUGACCGGCCACACUGGGACUGAGACACGGCCCAGACUCCUACGGGAGGCAGCAGUGGGGAAUAUUGCGCAAUGGGCGGAAGCCUGACGCAGCGACGCCGCGUGGGGGAUGACGGCCUUCGGGUUGUAAACCUCUUUCAGUAGGGACGAAGCGGAAGUGACGGUACCUACAGAAGAAGCACCGGCCAACUACGUGCCAGCAGCCGCGGUAAUACGUAGGGUGCAAGCGUUGUCCGGAAUUAUUGGGCGUAAAGAGCUCGUAGGCGGUCUGUCGCGUCGGCUGUGAAAACCCGAGGCUCAACCUCGGGCCUGCAGUCGAUACGGGCAAACUAGAGUGUUGCAGGGGAGACUGGAAUUCCUGGUGUAGCGGUGAAAUGCGCAGAUAUCAGGAGGAACACCGGUGGCGAAGGCGGGUCUCUGGGCAACAACUGACGCUGAGGAGCGAAAGCGUGGGGAGCGAACAGGAUUAGAUACCCUGGUAGUCCACGCCGUAAACGUUGGGCGCUAGGUGUGGGGGCCAUUCCACGGUCUCCGUGCCGCAGCUAACGCAUUAAGCGCCCCGCCUGGGGAGUACGGCCGCAAGGCUAAAACUCAAAGGAAUUGACGG